rnacentral:rRNA from 1 species
UCGGGAAUUUUGGGCAAUGGGGGAAACCCUGACCCAGCAACGCCGCGUGAAGGAUGAAGUAUUUCGGUAUGUAAACUUCGAAAGAAUAGGAAGAAUAAAUGACGGUACUAUUUAUAAGGUCCGGCUAACUACGUGCCAGCAGCCGCGGUAAUACGUAGGGACCAAGCGUUGUUCGGAUUUACUGGGCGUAAAGGGCGCGUAGGCGGCAUGACAAGUCACUUGUGAAAUCUCUGGGCUUAACCCAGAACGGCCAAGUGAUACUGUCGCGCUAGAGUGCAGAAGGGGCAAUCGGAAUUCUUGGUGUAGCGGUGAAAUGCGUAGAUAUCAAGAGGAACACCCGAGGUGAAGACGGGUUGCUGGGCUGACACUGACGCUGAGGCGCGAAAGCCAGGGGAGCAAACGGGAUUAGAUACCCCCGUAGUCUCUGAGCGGGCUGGCAAGGCGCAU